rnacentral:rRNA from 1 species
GACGAACGCUGGCGGCGUGCUUAACACAUGCAAGUCGAGCGAUGAAGCACCUUCGGGUGUGAAUUAGCGGCGAACGGGUGAGGAACACGUGAAGAAUCUGCCUUCAACUCUGGGAUAACUCCGGGAAACCGGGGCUAAUACCGGAUAUGAGCCUUGAUCGCAUGAUCGGGGCUGGAAAGUUUUUCGGUUGAAGAUGACUUCGCGGCCUAUCAGCUUGUUGGUGAGGUAAUGGCUCACCAAGGCGACGACGGGUAGCCGGCCUGAGAGGGCGACCGGCCACACUGGGACUGAGACACGGCCCAGACUCCUACGGGAGGCAGCAGUGGGGAAUAUUGGGCAAUGGAGGAAACUCUGACCCAGCGACGCCGCGUGAGGGAUGAAGGCCUUCGGGUUGUAAACCUCUUUCAGUAGGGAAGAAGCGAAAGUGACGGUACCUACAGAAGAAGCACCGGCUAACUAUGUGCCAGCAGCCGCGGUAAUACAUAGGGUGCAAGCGUUGUCCGGAAUUAUUGGGCGUAAAGAGCUCGUAGGUGGUUCGAUACGUCGGAUGUGAAAAUCAGGGGCUCAACCCCUGACCUGCAUCCGAUACGGUCGAGCUGGAGUUUGGUAGGGGAGACUGGAAUUCCUGGUGUAGCGGUGGAAUGCGCAGAUAUCAGGAGGAACACCGAUGGCGAAGGCAGGUCUCUGGGCCAAUACUGACACUGAGGAGCGAAAGCGUGGGGAGCGAACAGGAUUAGAUACCCUGGUAGUCCACGCCGUAAACGGUGGGCGCUAGUUGUGCGAACCUUCCACGGUUUGUGCGACGCANCUAACGCAUUAAGCGCCCCGCCUGGGGAGUACGAUCGCAAGAUUAAAACUCAAAGGAAUUGACGGGGCCCCGCACAAGCAGCGGANCAUGCGGCUUAAUUCGACGCAACGCGAAGAACCUUACCAAGGCUU